CUGGCUCAGGACGAACGCUGGCGGCGUGCCUAAUACAUGCAAGUCGAACGGUCUUUCUAUGGAAGCUUGCUUCCACUGAGAAGAUAGUGGCGAACGGGUGAGUAACACGUGGGUAACCUGCCCAUAAGAGGGGGAUAACAUCCGGAAACGGGUGCUAAUACCGCAUAGUUUUCUUGAUCGCAUGAUUGAGAAAGGAAAGACGGCCUUUGUGCUGUCGCUUAUGGAUGGACCCGCGGCGUAUUAGUUAGUUGGUGAGGUAACGGCUCACCAAGACGAUGAUACGUAGCCGACCUGAGAGGGUGAUCGGCCACAUUGGGACUGAGACACGGCCCAAACUCCUACGGGAGGCAGCAGUAGGGAAUCUUCCGCAAUGGACGAAAGUCUGACGGAGCAACGCCGCGUGAGUGAAAGAAGGUUUUCGGAUCGUAAAACUCUGUUGUCAGAGAAGAACAAGUUGGAGAGUAACUGCUCCAGCCUUGACGGUAUCUGACCAGAAAGCCACGGCUAACUACGUGCCAGCCGCCGC
rnacentral:rRNA from 1 species